AUGAAGGUGUUCUGGAAACAGCACUGGCCCCACAGUUACAAGAUGUGCAUUCUUGCCCUGGCUCCGCUACUGACCAGCAAUAUGACCUUGAGUACUUAACCUUUCUGGUUCUCGUCUGUAAAGUAAGAAAGAUUGGGUGGAACUCUAUGGCUGGGACUAAAAGGAUGCCAAGCUUUUAUCUACGUAAUGGGUGGACAGACGGGUGAAAAGGAGGACAAACCCAGCUGUGUCCACAUGCUAACCAAGACAAUGUGCAUGAGACAGCACCAGCCAGCAAGGAAUACGCACCAGAGUGAAAGGGAAAGUCGGGCUUCAUGAUGGUGGAUGUGGAUUUGAAUGUCUAAUUCGAGGCCUGUGUGAAUUAAUGACAUCCCAAUGAAGAACCAAGAAGGCAGAAGCCCUGCAAUCUAUAAUGUAAACUGCUUCAGGGCAGCACUCUUUUUUGCUCGCUGCUGCAUCCCCCCUUUCUAGAAUAAGGCCUGGCACAUGCAAGUUGCCCAAUAAAUAUUUGGUGAAAGAAUAAAUAAAUCCU